rnacentral:rRNA from 1 species
UCGUAUCCAUUUACACGGAUAACUGUGGUAAUUCUAGAGCUAAUACGUGCAAUCAGCUCGCUUCCUUGUGGAGCGAGCGCAGUUAUUAGAACAAGACCAAUCCGGCCUUCGGGUCGGUAAAAUUGGUGACUCUGAAUAACCGAAGCGGAGCGCAUGGUCUCGUACCGGCGCCAGAUCUUUCAAGUGUCUGACUUAUCAGCUUGUUGUUAGGUUACGUUCCUAACAAGGCUAUUACGGGUAACGGGGAAUUAGGGUCCGAUUCCGGAGAAGGAGCCUGAGAAACGGCUACUACAUCCAAGGAAGGCAGCAGGCGCGCAAAUUACCCACUCCCGGCACGGGGAGGUAGUGACGAAAAAUAACGAUGCGAGGGCUCUAUGCUUCUCGUAAUCGGAAUGGGUACACUUUAAAUCCUUUAACGAGGAUCUAUUGGAGGGCAAGUCUGGUGCCAGCAGCCGCGGUAAUUCCAGCUCCAAUAGCGUAUAUUAAAGUUGCUGCGGUUAAAAAGCUCGUAGUUGGAUCUGGGCAGCUGAACGGAUGGUGCGCUUUACAGCGUUACUGUCUGUUUGGUGCCACAAGCCGGCCAUGUCUUGCAUGCCCUUCACUGGGUGUGCUUGGCGACCGGAACGUUUACUUUGAAAAAAUUAGAGUGCUCAAAGCAGGCGUACGGCCUUGCAUAAUGGUGCAUGGAAUAAUGGAAUAGGACCUCGGUUCUAUUGUGUUGGUUUUCGGAACUCGAGGUAAUGAUUAAGAGGAACAGACGGGGGCAUUCGUAUUGCGGCGUUAGAGGUGAAAUUCUUGGAUCGUCGCAAGACGAACUACUGCGAAAGCAUUUGCCAAGAAUGUUUUCAUUAAUCAAGAACGAAAGUUAGAGGUUCGAAGGCGAUCAGAUACCGCCCUAGUUCUAACCAUAAACGAUGCCAACCAGCGAUCCGUCGGUGUUUUUUUGAAGACUCGACGGGCAGCUUCCGGGAAACCAAAGUGCUUAGGUUCCGGGGGAAGUAUGGUUGCAAAGCUG